GCCUUAGUAGUAUAAUUAAUACUUUGGUCUUGUAAACCAAAAAUGAAGAGCCAUCUUCCUAAGACAGC
rnacentral:tRNA from 1 species